UAGGCUUCCGAAAGAAAGAUUAAUACCCGAUGUUGCGUAUCUUUCUCCUGAAAGAUACGCCAAAGGAUUCCGGUAACCGAUGGGGAUGCGUUCCAUUAGGCAGUUGGCGGGGUAACGGCCCACCAAACCUUCGAUGGAUAGGGGUUCUGAGAGGAAGGUCCCCCACAUUGGAACUGAGACACGGUCCAAACUCCUACGGGAGGCAGCAGUGAGGAAUAUUGGUCAAUGGACGGAAGUCUGAACCAGCCAAGUAGCGUGAAGGAUGACUGCCCUCUGGGUUGUAAACUUCUUUUAUACGGGAAUAACAUGAGGUACGCGUACCUUAUUGCAUGUACCGUUAUGAAUAAGCAUCGGCUAACUCCGUGCCAGCAGCCGCGGUAAUACGGAGGAUGCGAGCGUUAUCCGGAUUUAUUGGGUUUAAAGGGAGCGUAGGUGGGAUAUUAAGUCAGCUGUGAAAGUUUGGGGCUCAACCUUAAAAUUGCAGUUGAUACUGGUUUCCUUGAGUACGGUACACGUGGGCGGAAUUCGUGGUGUAGCGGUGAAAUGCUUAUAUAUCACGAAAAACUCCGAUCGCGAAGGCAGCUCACCGAGCCGGAACUGACACUGAUGCUCGAAAGUGCGGGUAUCAAACAGGAUUAGAUACCCUGGUAGUCCGCACAGUAAACGAUGAAUACUCGCUGUUUGCGAUACACAGUAAGCGGCCAAGCGAAAAGCGUUAAGUAUUCCACCUGGGGAGUACGCUGGCAACGGUGAAACUCAAAGGAAUUGACGGGGGCCCGCACAAGCGGAGGAACAUGUGGUUUAAUUCGAUGAUACGCGAGGAACCUUACCCGGGCUUAAAUUGCGCUGGCUUUUACCGGAAACGGUAUUUUCUUCGGACCAGCGUGAAGGUGCUGCAUGGUUGUCGUCAGCUCGUGCCGUGAGGUGUCGGCUUAAGUGCCAUAACGAGCGCAACCCUUAUCUUUAGUUACUAA
rnacentral:rRNA from 1 species